AUUUGUUGAAAUGCUUUUGUUACUGAUAAAUACAUGUACAUUUAAAUUGAUUUUGUUCUGUCUGUGAUUUUGUAGAUCUGGAUGUUCAGCUGGUCUCAGAUCAAGCAUCCUCCUCUGUACUGACUCCACUAUCCCCAGCUUCAUCCCAUUCAUCAGAUUCCACAAUUGUCCUGGAGUCCAGAAGAAAGAGGAGGAACCCAACAGGGUUAAUGGAGCAGAAUGAAGCAAGACAGGUAAGCUUUGAAUAAAUGCAUUUAAAAUACUCAAUUAUGUAAUUGUUUAUUAUUGAUACUUAUCUGUAGAAGUGUUUUGUAAAUGUAUUCUCGACAUAAAGGAAAGGCAUUAAAAAUCCUCUUAAAUUUCCAUGAGCAUGUCAUAACGAUGUAAGAUGUUUUGGCAGAAAGUUGAUUGUGUUCUGAGGGUCAUGUCUGCAACCAGGACGUUCACCAUCUGUUUACGUGUGGCAUAUGUUAGAGCUACAUGGGAGGAUUCCAUGGUCAAGUGUGAGGACCAAUUAUGCACUGGGAAUUGUGACACUUUUUCCAUACCUCCAAGAUCCUUUCUCCAAACAUGGAUAUGAACACUACUAUGAUCCUUUAGGGUAAUACUGGCUUCAUUGCAUGGAGGAUCAAGACAGUUCAACAUAACACCUGUGCUGGCUCCUGGUGUCAUUCCAAGACUGUUCUUCAGGAUGGUCCAAAAAACAGACAAGAAUCUCUGUUAACUUGUCAACAGCGAUUUGGUGAGGAGUGCAGGGAGGCGAUAUCUACAAUACGAUAUUCCACUGAUGAGAAGAUGAGCGACUUUCCAGUAUUGACAGAAGAUGGUGGGUGAGGAUGCAUCAUCUUCAGUCCUGGAUUUGUUCACUCGUUUCCUUGCUGUAUCUGGAUUGAUCGACCACGAUUUCUCCAUGAUGUUUGGUGACGAAGUGUCUCAGAAGUUCCUGGCAAAGUGGUCAACAUUCUUCAAGCCAAAAAUCAUUGCAGACUGCAAGACUCUUAAGAAUAUGGGCGAGCUGCUGUCAGGAACUGAACCUGAACCUGAGGACUAAAAUGGAUGGGACAGCGACAUGUCCUCAAUCCUUUUGCAGCUGCAUCUGCUCCCUCCAACCUCAAGAGGCCAGAAAAAAAAUAUCCAAGAUCAGUUCAGCUCAAGCAACCAGCCAUCUUGUGAGCUAUCUUAAGGAAGGAGCCAGUGUGAAUACCUUCAUUGAGAGUGCUGACACAAGACAACCAUUUCUCCUCUGCAUCGGUGAACAAAAGAAGGACAUCAGAAGUUCUACAUUAUCAACCAAAAGGCGAUCCCAUAAUACCGCUGCUGGGAAAUUGCCGUUCCCAAGGUUGGACACACGAGGGCAGUCAAGCUCCAUCCAGCACAACACACAACUCCACCUGAAGCAGAAGGUAGGUUUGGGCUAUUUUACAGACACAGCUCAUUACUGUGCAUUGUAU